GGCAGUUUAGACUGACAUGCAUGAAAACUGGUGUUACUUCUGCCCAUCAGGUGGUAUAUCUGAUGAUUCUUGUUGCAGAAACUGAACUGAGACAGACUGAUCCCAGGGUCUUUCUCUAGGGAGGUGGAAGAUGUAGAUCAAACUGGCAGGCGGAUGUGGGAUUUGGAUCUGGGUCUCCUGUAUCCCAGUGCACUGAUAUCCCAACAACAGGCAGAAGAGAAGACUAAGCCAAGAGGCAUCAUCAUGGAAAUCAAACAAGACGGUGUGGAAUAGCCCAUGUGCUAUACUGGUGAUAUGUGAGGAACCAACUGGGAAAAGGAAAAGAGGAAAGUGGAUGCGACAUGGAAGAGGGCAGUAGAGACAUGGAAGUGGAUGGCAGAGAGCAUGAAAAACGAAGGAAUUUGGAAUGGGUCAAUGUCAGAAAGAAAAGCAGCUGACAGAGGGUGGGAGACACUUCCUUUUAGGCUCCAUAUAGUAUAAAGGAUACUAAGUAAGCCAACAAGCACUUAGUAUUGUUCAGCAGGUAUUGCAAACAGAAUAUAUUUAAAGCAAAAAUUAUACUCUGUUUUGGUGUGUGCAAAGUUGAUGUGGCCUUUUCCAUACUGUCCAUACUGGUGGUAUUUCUGUGCCAUUGCUACAUCAGCCAGGGGUCACCAUCUGAGAAAACAGCAGAGCUGAAGCUGUCCUCAGCUAGCCCACUGUCUUUUGGAAGAGGAACAUUUUCUGCCUCUUGGGAACUUACCUCAUAGUAACAUCCUUCAACACGAGGACAGCUUUCUCUUGGGAAUCUCCCUUCUCUGAUUCUUCCACCCAUGCUUUCAGUGUGCAAGGGUGUAGAUGCCCAGUUCUAGGGAACAUGGUUCCAGAGUAAGAGGGAAUAAGGUGGAAAAUAUCAUAUAUCAUCUCUAAGCCUUUCCCAGAAUGGCAAGAGUAGAGGGGAAAGAAAUUCCAAAAUUAAGGGGGAAAAAGGAGCAGCUGCUCAUUUUUGGCAUGACCAAUUCAGGGCAGUACCUGUUGUAGUGUUUCUCUUCUGUUAGCACCUGAAGGCUUCUUCCUUCCCUCUCAUAGAUGUUGCCUCAAGCACAGCAAACUGCUAUCACAUAUGGCAGAUCUCUCUCAGACACAUCUGCAACCAUGACACCUUUCCACCUUCCCUUCAGUCUUCUAAGUACACAUCCAAUGUCAUUCUGUAGCUACUUAGCCUAUAUGAAAACAGGUGUCAAAGAUUUCUUACACCACAGAAGCAGAGAGAGCUGUCUCCCAGAAUGCCAAAAGGAAUCACACUCAGGGCAAAAAUACAGAGGUGGUGGC